CCCAGACUCCUACGGGAGGCAGCAGUGGGGGAUAUUGCACAAUGGGGGAAACCCUGAUGCAGCGACGCCGCGUGAGUGAAGAAGUAAUUCGUUAUGUAAAGCUCUAUCAGCAGGGAAGAAAAUGACGGUACCUGAGUAAGAAGCCCCGGCUAACUACGUGCCAGCAGCCGCGGUAAUACGUAGGGGGCAAGCGUUAUCCGGAUUUACUGGGUGUAAAGGGGGCGCAGACGGCAGCGCAAGCCAGGAGUGAAAGCCCGGGGCCCAACCCCGGGACUGCUCUUGGAACUGCGCGGCUGGAGUGCAGGAGGGGCAGGCGGAAUUCCUGGUGUAGCGGUGAAAUGCGUAGAUAUCAGGAGGAACACCGGUGGCGAAGGCGGCCUGCUGGGCUGCGACUGACGUUGAGGCCCGAAAGCGUGGGGAGCAAACAGGAUUAGAUACCCCGGUAGCA
rnacentral:rRNA from 1 species